CAGUAUAUCAUUGGUCUUAGUGCUUUAUUGCCAAGAGCAGCACAGGCUGUGGAAGCAAAACUUUUCCCAUACUGCCUAAUCUAUGUGCUCUGAACCUGACCUGAAGGGGCCACCUUUAAAGGAGAAAUCAUGUUUCAGCAUCCAUGCUCAUUCAGUUCUUAGCCUCU
rnacentral:sRNA from 1 species